AGACUCAAUGUAACCACUGAAGACUGCCCCAGCUGACAGCUCUGAAAAAAGACCUGUCAGCUAGGAGAAGGAUUGUGUCUAAUGGAAUGAAGAUCCUCAAUUGCAUCUGGAGCAGGAGGAGGGAGGAGGACACAGACACCCCACAGGAUUCCACAAACACGCCCAACCAAGGAGGAACAAUUGGAUUCAAAGUGAGCUGGGAAGCUCCCCUUCAGCCAGAUGAAUUACUGAGAUGGUGCAAGCAGAAGGAGCCAUUUUCCAAAUGGAAGGCAAAAUAGGGAAGAUGGGGUGCAGAAGGAGGAAAGGAAGAAUCAUUCCCCUGUCUGGAGCCAGCUGUAGAGGAAGAAUUGUCUUGGAGACAAGAGUCUGAACUAAGUGACCUGUCUGGGGAGGACUCUGUCUAUCCAGAGAUCUGUAUGCAGUGUUGUAGCCAUGUUGGUCUCUGGAUUUAGAGAGACAAGGUGGGUGAGGUAAUAUCUUUUACUGGACCAGCUUCUAUUGGUGACAGAGAUGAGCUUUUAAGUUUACAAAGAGAAGAACUCUGUAAGCUUGAAAGCUUCUCUCUCUCCAACAGAAGCUUAUCCAGUAAAAGAUACUCUCGUCUCACCCAUAUUGUCUGUCUAAUAUGUAGAGAUCUUACAGUCUGCAAACAUUUUCAGGAUUCAGUGGGACUGUCC